rnacentral:rRNA from 1 species
CGGCCGCGGUAUCCUGACCGUGCAAAGGUAGCAUAAUCAUUUGUUCCUUAAUUAGGGACUAGUAUGAAUGGCCACACGAGGGUUUAACUGUCUCUUAUUUCUAAUCAGUGAAAUUGACCUUCCCGUGAAGAGGCGGGAAUAAUAAAAUAAGACGAGAAGACCCUAUGGAGCUUAAAUUAUAUAACCCUGGGAUAUAGAUUUCGGUUGGGGUGACCUCGGAGUAUAAAAUAACCUCCGAACCAAGAUUAACAAAUCGAAGUCAAUCCAAUUGAUCAACGAAACAAGUUACCCUAGGGAUAACAGCGCAAUCCUAUUCAAGAGUCCCUAUCGACAAUAGGGUUUACGACCUCGAUGUUGGAUCAGGACAUCCUAAUGGUGCAGCAGCU